rnacentral:rRNA from 1 species
GACGAACGCUGGCGGCGUGCUUAACACAUGCAAGUCGAACGGAAAGGCCCUGCUUUUGGGGGGUGCUCGAGUGGCGAACGGGUGAGUAACACGUGAGUAACCUGCCCUUGACUUUGGGAUAACUUCAGGAAACUGGGGCUAAUACCGGAUAGGAGCUCCUGCUGCAUGGUGGGGGUUGGAAAGUUUCGGCGGUUGGGGAUGGACUCGCGGCUUAUCAGCUUGUUGGUGGGGUAGUGGCUUACCAAGGCUUUGACGGGUAGCCGGCCUGAGAGGGUGACCGGCCACAUUGGGACUGAGAUACGGCCCAGACUCCUACGGGAGGCAGCAGUGGGGAAUAUUGCACAAUGGGCGGAAGCCUGAUGCAGCAACGCCGCGUGCGGGAUGACGGCCUUCGGUUUGUAAACCGCUUUCGCCUGUGACGAAGCGUGAGUGACGGUAAUGGGUAAAGAAGCACCGGCUAACUACGUG